GAUGGACGCUAGCGGCAGGCCUAAUACAUGCAAGUCGGACGGGAUUCCGGAGCUUGCUUCUGCUGAGAGUGGCGCACGGGUGCGUAACACGUAUGUAACCUACCUUUAUCAGUUGGAUAGCCUCUCGAGAGAGAGAUUAAGCCCGCAUAAAAUCACAGCACAGCAUUGUGUAAUGAUCAAAUAUUUAUAGGAUAAAGAUGGGCAUGCUGAACAUUAGCUAGAUGGCGGGGUUACGGCCAACCAUGGCAACGCUGUUUAGGGGAUCUGAGGGGAUGGCCCCCCACACGGGUACUGAGCCACUGGCCAGACUGCUACGGGACGGAGCAGUACGGGAGACAGGGCAAUGGGCGGAAGCCUAAACCAGCCAUGCCGGGUGCAGGAAGACGGCGCUCCGGGUUGUAAACUGCUUUUAUAAGGGAAUAAACCCAGAUACGUGUACCUGGCUGACGGUACUGUAAGAAUAAGGACCGGCUAACUCCGUG
rnacentral:rRNA from 1 species